GACGAACGCUGGCGGCGCGCCUAACACAUGCAAGUCGAGCGAUGAAAGUUGUUCGGAUCCUUCGGGUGACGAACUUCUGGAUUAGCGGCGAACGGGUGAGUAACGCGUGAGGAACCUGCCUCUCACAACGGGAUAGCCUCGGGAAACCGGGAUUAAUACCGUAUGACACUAUCAGAUGGCAUCAUCAGAUAGUUAAAGUGCUAGCGGUGAGAGAUGGCCUCGCGUCUGAUUAGUUAGUUGGUGGGGUAACGGCCUACCAAGACGACGAUCAGUAACCGGCCUGAGAGGGUGAACGGUCACAUUGGAACUGAGACACGGUCCAAACUCCUACGGGAGGCAGCAGUGGGGAAUCUUGCACAAUGGGGGAAACCCUGAUGCAGCGACGCCGCGUGAGCGAUGAAGGUUUUCGAAUCGUAAAGCUCUGUCCUAUGGGAAGAUAAUGACGGUACCAUAGGAGGAAGCCCCGGCUAACUACGUGCCAGCAGCCGCGGUAAUACGUAGGGGGCGAGCGUUGUCCGGAAUUACUGGGCGUAAAGGGUUCGCAGGCGGCAUGACAAGUCCGAUGUAAAAGGCGAAAGCUCAACUUUCGUAAGCAUCGGAAACUGUCAAGCUUGAGUGAAGGAGAGGCAAGUGGAAUUCCUAGUGUAGCGGUGGAAUGCGUAGAUAUUAGGAGGAAUACCGGUGGCGAAGGCGACUUGCUGGACUUCAACUGACGCUGAGGAACGAAAGCGUGGGUAGCAAACAGG
rnacentral:rRNA from 1 species